UACGUAGGGUGCGAGCGUUAAUCGGAUUUACUGGGCGUAAAGGGCGCGUAGGCGGUCAGCACAAGUCAGUUGUGAAAUCUCCGAGCUUAACUCGGAAAGGUCAACUGAUACUGUGCGACUAGAGUGCAGAAGGGGCAACUGGAAUUCUCGGUGUAGCGGUGAAAUGCGUAGAUAUCGAGAGGAACACCUGCGGCGAAGGCGGGUUGCUGGGCUGACACUGACGCUGAGGCGCGAAAGCUAGGGGAGCGAACGGG
rnacentral:rRNA from 1 species